AGUGAACGCUGGCGGUAGGCCUAACACAUGCAAGUCGAACGGCAGCACAGAGGAGCUUGCUCCUUGGGUGGCGAGUGGCGGACGGGUGAGGAAUACAUCGGAAUCUACUCUGUCGUGGGGGAUAACGUAGGGAAACUUACGCUAAUACCGCAUACGACCUACGGGUGAAAGCAGGGGAUCUUCGGACCUUGCGCGAGUGGAUGAGCCGAUGUCGGAUUAGCUAGUUGGCGGGGUAAAGGCCCACCAAGGCGACGAUCCGUAGCUGGUCUGAGGGGGUGAUGAGCCAGACUGGAAGUGAGACACGGGCCAGACUCCUACGGGGGGCAGCAGUGGGGAAUAUGGGACAAUGGGCGCAAGCCUGAUCCAGCCAUACCGCGUGGGUGAAGAAGGCCUUCGGGUUGUAAAGCCCUUUUGUUGGGAAAGAAAUCCAGCUGGUUAAUACCCGGUUGGGAUGACGGUACCCAAAGAAUAAGCACCGGCUAACUUCGUGCCAGCCGCCGCCGUAA
rnacentral:rRNA from 1 species